rnacentral:rRNA from 1 species
AUGGCUCAGGAUGAACGCUAGCGGCAGGCUUAACACAUGCAAGUCGAGGGGUAACAGAGGAGCUUGCUCUUGCUGACGACCGGCGCACGGGUGCGUAACGCGUAUACAAUCUGCCUUACACUAAGGGAUAGCCCAGAGAAAUUUGGAUUAACACCUUAUAGUUUAUUUUUAUGGCAUCAUUUAAAUAAUAAAGUUUACGGUGUAAGAUGAGUAUGCGUCCCAUUAGUUUGUUGGUAAGGUAACGGCUUACCAAGACUACGAUGGGUAGGGGCCCUGAGAGGGGGAUCCCCCACACUGGUACUGAGACACGGACCAGACUCCUACGGGAGGCAGCAGUGAGGAAUAUUGGACAAUGGAGGAGACUCUGAUCCAGCCAUGCCGCGUGCAGGAAGACGGUCCUAUGGAUUGUAAACUGCUUUUAUACAGGAAGAAUAAGGACUACGUGUAGUCUGGUGACGGUACUGUAAGAAUAAGGACCGGCUAACUCCGUGCCAGCAGCCGCGGUAAUACGGAGGGUCCGAGCGUUAUCCGGAAUUAUUGGGUUUAAAGGGUCCGUAGGCGGGCUGUUAAGUCAGGGGUGAAAGUUUGCAGCUCAACUGUAGAAUUGCCUUUGAUACUGAUGGUCUUGAAUUAUUGUGAAGUGGUUAGAAUAUGUAGUGUAGCGGUGAAAUGCAUAGAUAUUACAUAGAAUACCGAUUGCGAAGGCAGAUCACUAACAAUUGAUUGACGCUGAUGGACGAAAGCGUGKGUAG